GAUGAACGCUGGCGGCGUGCCUAAUACAUGCAAGUCGAGCGAACGGACGAGAAGCUUGCUUCUCUGAUGUUAGCGGCGGACGGGUGAGUAACACGUGGAUAACCUACCUAUAAGACUGGGAUAACUUCGGGAAACCGGAGCUAAUACCGGAUAAUAUUUUGAACCGCAUGGUUCAAAAGUGAAAGACGGUCUUGCUGUCACUUAUAGAUGGAUCCGCGCUGCAUUAGCUAGUUGGUAAGGUAAUGGCUUACCAAGGCAACGAUGCAUAGCCGACCUGAGAGGGUGAUCGGCCACACUGGAACUGAGACACGGUCCAGACUCCUACGGGAGGCAGCAGUAGGGAAUCUUCCGCAAUGGGCGAAAGCCUGACGGAGCAACGCCGCGUGAGUGAUGAAGGUCUUCGGAUCGUAAAACUCUGUUAUUAGGGAAGAACAUAUGUGUAAGUAACUGUGCACAUCUUGACGGUACCUAAUCAGAAAGCCACGGCUAACUACGUGCCAGCAGCCGCGGUAAUACGUAGGUGGCAAGCGUUAUCCGGAAUUAUUGGGCGUAAAGCGCGCGUAGGCGGUUUUUUAAGUCUGAUGUGAAAGCCCACGGCUCAACCGUGGAGGGUCAUUGGAAACUGGAAAACUUGAGUGCAGAAGAGGAAAGUGGAAUUCCAUGUGUAGCGGUGAAAUGCGCAGAGAUAUGGAGGAACACCAGUGGCGAAGGCGACUUUCUGGUCUGUAACUGACGCUGAUGUGCGAAAGCGUGGGGAUCAAACAGGAUUAGAUACCCUGGUAGUCCACGCCGUAAACGAUGAGUGCUAAGUGUUAGGGGGUUUCCGCCCCUUAGUGCUGCAGCUAACGCAUUAAGCACUCCGCCUGGGGAGUACGACCGCAAGGUUGAAACUCAAAGGAAUUGACGGGGACCCGCACAAGCGGUGGAGCAUGUGGUUUAAUUCGAAGCAACGCGAAGAACCUUACCAAAUCUUGACAUCCUUUGACAACUCUAGAGAUAGAGCCUUCCCCUUCGGGGGACAAAGUGACAGGUGGUGCAUGGUUGUCGUCAGCUCGUGUCGUGAGAUGUUGGGUUAAGUCCCGCAACGAGCGCAACCCUUAAGCUUAGUUGCCAUCAUUAAGUUGGGCACUCUAAGUUGACUGCCGGUGACAAACCGGAGGAAGGUGGGGAUGACGUCAAAUCAUCAUGCCCCUUAUGAUUUGGGCUACACACGUGCUACAAUGGACAAUACAAAGGGCAGCGAAACCGCGAGGUCAAGCAAAUCCCAUAAAGUUGUUCUCAGUUCGGAUUGUAGUCUGCAACUCGACUACAUGAAGUUGGAAUCGCUAGUAAUCGUAGAUCAGCAUGCUACGGUGAAUACGUUCCCGGGUCU
rnacentral:rRNA from 1 species